AUAUUACUAAGCGGAGGAAAAGAAACCAACAGGGAUUGCCUCAGUAACGGCGAGUGAAGCGGCAACAGCUCAAAUUUGAAAUCUGGCCUCUGGCCCGAGUUGUAAUUUGCAGAGGAUGCUUCGGGCGCGGUGCCUUCCAAGUCCCCUGGAACGGGGCGCCGGAGAGGGUGAGAGCCCCGUACGGUUGGCGGCCAAGCCUGUGUGAAGCUCCUUCGACGAGUCGAGUAGUUUGGGAAUGCUGCUCUAAGCGGGAGGUAGACCCCUUCUAAAGCUAAAUACCGGCCAGAGACCGAUAGCGCACAAGUAGAGUGAUCGAAAGAUGAAAAGAACUUUGAAAAGAGAGUCAAAAGACUUGAAAUCGUUGAGAAGGAAGCGGUAGAAAUUUAUUCUUCGGCAUUCAUCUUAGGUUUUCACUUAACUAUUCCGGAGCUAAGGUACGCAAGGCCUGGCGUUGGACUUGGGGAAGUGGGGCUGUGGUGGGUGUUGUGAGGCAAAAUGGGAUUGUAUUUCUGCAAAGGUGCUUGUCGCUUAGGGGGCUUCGGCUCUCAACGAUGGGUGUGCCGGUAGGGGUAUAGUCCGAGGGGCUUUGUGCGAUUUUGCCAAAAUGGUUUUUACCGA
rnacentral:rRNA from 1 species